UACGUAGGGUGCAAGCGUUGUCCGGAAUUAUUGGGCGUAAAGAGCUUGUAGGCGGUUUGUCGCGUCUGCUGUGAAAUUUCGGGGCUCAACCCCCGAACUUGCAGUGGGUACGGGCAGACUAGAGUGUGGUAGGGGGAGACUGGAAUUCCUGGUGUAGCGGUGAAAUGCGCAGAUAUCAGGAGGAACACCGGUGGCGAAGGCGGGUCUCUGGGCCGUAACUGACGCUGAGGAGCGAAAGCAUGGGGAGCGAACAGG
rnacentral:rRNA from 1 species